UUUAAUUUGUUAUGGGCUUCAUAUUUGUUAAAUUUGGCGAUUCCAUCAGUUUAGGUUUCUUCUCCGACAAUCGAUGUCGACACAGAACCAGCGUUUCCCUUCUGGGGCAGCCGAUCUUUCACCUUCUUCCUGUCUGUUGCGAGAUGAAACCAGAAAACGAAUUCUGACAUAAAGCCCUCCAUCAAUCGAGCAUCCAUGAUCUAUAUUCAAUGCGUCUCGUGGGACUGCAAGUCGGUGAACGUUCUACUAUAAAAGGGCGACCAUGAUGCCGGCAACCCGAAGAUGGUAGGAGGUAAUCAACCCAUUAAGACUUACAAGAUCUGUGGUAUAAUGGAUUACAUUACAUAAACUCUUUUCUUCAUGCAUGUCGCCUAUUUUUGAAUGCCACUUCCGGCACACAUGUUUACUUCGGCAAAGAGACAUCAGCAGGAGAGAGUUUCUUCAACAGGCUGGUUGAAGAAGACACUGGAGUUACGCCAGCUACUCCAUUGCUAAGGGGCUAUGCAAAGGUGGAAGCACUGAGCAUAGCUGAGCUUUGUCACCACUCCCUCUCAGGAGAGUGACUGAAAUCAAGAUAGAUAAGUGGUGGUGCUACGUUUCUUGCUCAAAUUGUGGUAAGAAACUCCAACACACUGCGUCAUCUUUCACAUGUGUGCCUUGCAAUAAUACUAGCGUAGUUGGUGUGCUCCGACGAAACUGGUGAAGGGUUGUUUGUUUGCUUCGAUGGGUCAUGACGAAGCUCCAUAACAUGAGGGCCUAUGAGGCUGGCCAUAUUCUGUCCAUUCUCUGUGUUGACUACUUAUUCAUUCAGUCACAUUCAUCCAAUUUAGCGCAGGCUGGUGAUGGUGUCAACCCCGAGGAAACUGAGGCCCCUCCUUUUGUUAAAGACAUGGAGGGAAAGACAUACAAGUUACAGGUGAGAGUGAGUUCAUACAAUUUCACAGCGAAUCAUCAGACCUUCACCAUCUCCCACAUACUCAGCGAGGGUGCCACCUCCUGAAUUCGUUGACAACGGGGGUGACAGUGGAGAUAACAACCACGGUGGCAACUCAGUGCCUGUUAAGGUGGAAGCUGCUGGUAGUACCAAUGUUGAUGGAGCUGCUGGGAAGGUGAAGAAGGCACGCAAGGCCUAGAUGAAGCCGGUUGAUGUUGAGGAUGCUGUUUUCCAGCUUUUAAAAUGAAUAAGCUGUUUUGUUUGGUUGUCUUUUUUUUCUGUUUUUUUUUUGUCUUCAUAAACAAUUUUGCGUGUUUUGAUUUUUGCUUUUCCAAACUUCUAAUUUGAGUUAUUGCUUAUCAGUUAUAAAAUCUAUUCCAUCUCA